rnacentral:rRNA from 1 species
UGUGUGAAGAAGGCCUUCGGGUUGUAAAGCACUUUCAGUCGUGAGGAAGGUAGUGUAGUUAAUAGCUGCAUUAUUUGACGUUAGCGACAGAAGAAGCACCGGCUAACUCCGUGCCAGCAGCCGCGGUAAUACGGAGGGUGCGAGCGUUAAUCGGAAUUACUGGGCGUAAAGCGCAUGCAGGUGGUUUGUUAAGUCAGAUGUGAAAGCCCGGGGCUCAACCUCGGAAUAGCAUUUGAAACUGGCAGACUAGAGUACUGUAGAGGGGGGUAGAAUUUCAGGUGUAGCGGUGAAAUGCGUAGAGAUCUGAAGGAAUACCGGUGGCGAAGGCGGCCCCCUGGACAGAUACUGACACUCAGAUGCGAAAGCGUGGGGAGCAAACAGGAUUAGAUACCCUGGUAGUCCACGCCGUAAACGAUGUCUACUUGGAGGUUGUGGCCUUGAGCCGUGGCUUUCGGAGCUAACGCGUUAAGUAGACCGCCUGGGGAGUACGGUCGCAAGAUUAAAACUCAAAUGAAUUGACGGGGGCCCGCACAAGCGGUGGAGCAUGUGGUUUAAUUCGAUGCAACGCGAAGAACCUUACCUACUCUUGACAUCCAGAGAACUUUCCAGAGAUGGAUUGGUGCCUUCGGGAACUCUGAGACAGGUGCUGCAUGGCUGUCGUCAGCUCGUGUUGUGAAAUGUUGGGUUAAGUCCCGCAACGAGCGCAACCCUUAUCCUUGUUUGCCAGCACUUCGGGUGGGAACUCCAGGGAGACUGCCGGUGAUAAACCGGAGGAAGGUGGGGACGACGUCAAGUCAUCAUGGCCCUUACGAGUAGGGCUACACACGUGCUACAAUGGCGCAUACAGAGGGCGGCCAACUUGCGAGAGUGAGCGAAUCCCAAAAAGUGCGUCGUAGUCCGGAUCGGAGUCUGCAACUCGACUCCGUGAAGUCGGAAUCGCUAGUAAUCGUGGAUCAGAAUGCCACGGUGAAUACGUUCCCGGGGCCUUGUACACACCGCCCGUCACACCAUGGGGAGUGGGCUGCAAAAGAAGUAGGUAGUUUAACCUUCC